AGUGAACGCUGGCGGCAGGCCUAACACAUGCAAGUCGAACGGCAGCACAGAGGAGCUUGCUCCUUGGUGGCGAGUGGCGGACGGGUGAGGAAUACAUCGGAAUCUGCCCAGUCGUGGGGGAUAACAUAGGGAAACUUAUGCUAAUACCGCAUACGACCUACGGGUGAAAGCGGGGGAUCGCAAGACCUCGCGCGAUUGGAUGAGCCGAUGUCCGAUUAGCUAGUUGGCGGGGUAAUGGCCCACCAAGGCGACGAUCGGUAGCUGGUCUGAGAGGAUGAUCAGCCACACUGGAACUGAGACACGGUCCAGGCUCCUACGGGAGGCAGCAGUGGGGAAUAUUGGACAAUGGGCGCAAGCCUGAUCCAGCCAUGCCGCGUGGGUGAAGAAGGCCUCGG
rnacentral:rRNA from 1 species